GGGGCUGAUUCUGGAUUCGACGGGAUUUGCGAAACCCAAGGUGCAUGCCGAGGGCGGUUGGCCUCGUAAAAAGCCGCAAAAAAAUAGUCGCAAACGACGAAAACUACGCUUUAGCAGCUUAAUAACCUGCUUAGAGCCCUCUCUCCCUAGCCUCCGCUCUUAGGACGGGGAUCAAGAGAGGUCAAACCCAAAAGAGAUCGCGCGGAUGCCCUGCCUGGGGUUGAAGCGUUAAAACGAAUCAGGCUAGUCUGGUAGUGGCGUGUCCGUCCGCAGGUGCCAGGCGAAUGUAAAGACUGACUAAGCAUGUAGUACCGAGGAUGUAGGAAUUUCGGACGCGGGUUCAACUCCCGCCAGCUCCACCA
rnacentral:tmRNA from 1 species